AAACACUUUCUCAUACAAUCACCAAAGUUAAGCAACAUCGAAUCUGGUCAGUACCUAGAUGGGUGACCACUUGGGAAUACCAGGUGCUGUAAG